rnacentral:lncRNA from 1 species
AAAAUGUUUUAUGCUUUCGGCCUAAAUAGUGUUCCUUGGAGAGAAAAUUACCCUGGGAAUGAAUAAACAAGAGCAAUGCAAAUGAUAUCCACGACUGUUACAGAUGCUUCGUGGAGGUUCAAAAAGACUACAGAUCAAGGCCAGUGACCUUCUACACAUGGUGGACACUCCAGCCUCUGCUCAAUCUCCAUCCACACUUAAAGGAAAUAGCCAACUCUUGGCCAACCUUCAGGCCUGGGAAGAGGCUCAAGCAGACACUGAAGACGGACUUAAGUGAGUGAAGCUUUGGCAGGACCAUGUCUCUGAAUGUCUCAUUGGAAGGGUUUCAUCACUGUCCCUGAAAGCCUCCUUCAUCAAGAUUUUUUGAAUGUUGUAUUUCCUGAGUUGACUCUGAUUUUCUAAUCUUUGCUUUUCUGAUUUACAUGUCUGUUUGGUUCUAUAUUCCGAGUAAGUAGCUUGCGUUUGUCUUCCAACUCUUCAAAUUAUUGUUGCAUUUGUGCUUUAUCAUUAAAUGCCAAGAAUUCCUUUUAUAAUUGAUGUACUUUUGAGCUGGUCAGUUUUUAUUAAAAAAAAAAUUUAGAAACUUCUGCUCAGAUAAUCUGUGCUUUAGAUGAUUAUAACAUGUCAUUAAUAAUUUUCUGAUUUUUAUGCUUGUAUUGGCCUUAAAGAUAAUGUCCAUGUUAUAGAAAAUACAAAUUGAGUGUUCAGGAAUAAAGGCCUAACACAUCUUCAAUGUUCUAUGAAAUGGUUCAAUAAAAAAUAAUAUUCUGUUCUUACAA